CCUGGUGGCUAUGGCGGAAGAGGUACACCCGUUCCCAUUUCGAACACGGCAGUUAAGACUUCCAGCGCCGAUGGUAUUGCUCCGGCGACGGGGUGAGAGAGUAGGGCGUCGCCAGGA
rnacentral:rRNA from 1 species